UACGUAGGGGGCAAGCGUUGUCCGGAAUUAUUGGGCGUAAAGAGCUCGUAGGCGGCCUGUUGCGUCCGCUGUGAAAGCCCGGGGCUUAACCCCGGGUCUGCAGUGGAUACGGGCAGGCUAGAGGUAGGUAGGGGAGAAUGGAAUUCCCGGUGUAGCGGUGGAAAUGCGCAGAUAUCGGGAGGAACACCGGUGGCGAAGGCGGUUCUCUGGGCCUUACCUGACGCUGAGGAGCGAAAGCGUGGGGAGCAAACAGG
rnacentral:rRNA from 1 species